CAGCGCUAUAACUUUGCUUCUACUGCUUAAACCUCUAUAAAAAUACAGAUUUCCAGAUAGAAUCUAUCACCCUUAUUCUUGUUUACGACGAAUGCGAUAUUCGUUCGGUAGCUAUUCGAAGGAAUAGUACGCCCACUUGAUUUUGCUGUCGUAAACGGGAAUGCAAACCACUUUUGAUCGAAUCUCGCAUUCGUCAUAAACAAGAAUAAGGGUGUAUACUUUAAGAUAAAAGUAUGAAAAAGUUCGACUUUUUGACCGACCUCAUCAUAUAUAAUCCGAAACCCAAUAAUAGGCUCAUUAUCCUACAUAUAAAUAAAGAAAAUCAAUUGUAAAAAAAUCCUAAAAGUGCCAGGAUACAACAUGUGUCUUAAAAACGUAGUGUGUCUUGUCCAUAUUUAAAAAACCUAUUUUAAUCCUCCUAGCGGUGCAAUUGUACCUUUCUCAAUCAUGAAUCACGAGAAUGUGUGCGUUGUUUAUAUUCAUUAAAAGCAUUUAAAUGCAUAUAUUGCAUUUUAUUAAUAUACAUCACAUGACAAAUAUAUACAGAAAAAUAAAUCAUUAUUCGAGUUCUAAAAUUUUGAAAAGGAAAAAACAGCCACGGUAAUAUUGAACUGAAAAAAGGUGGGAAAUCGGCAGUCCCAAAAAGUCGAUUUUUAUAAAAAAAAAUUUCGAUAUAACAUAAAAUCUUGACGUUUCAUGCAUUUUAAGGUUGGACAGAGAAAGGGUAAAAUUCACAAACGAAAAAAGCAGUUUUUUCCACACCGUAUGUCAGAUCUUCAUAAAAAUCAAUCAGCAGUACUGUAACAACAUUCUACAUACGCUGAUUGAUUUUUAUGAAGAUCUGACAUACGGUGUGGAAAAAAAACUGCUUUUUUCGUUUGUGAAUUUUACCCUUUCUCUGUCCAACCUUAAAGAUUUUUGGCUUCAAAAAUACGAAUUCGAUUUCUAAAAUUUCAUGGGGUCCCUCCUUUGAAAAAAAAUUUUGAGUUCCGGCUUAUAUGGGAAUUUCAUAUGUGACCGGACUAUUUAGUCUAUAUUUCCGGACCCAUAUAAGCGAUCCGUACGAAACUUUAUAGACAUCUAUGGGGAUAUUAUAGCUAUCAUUUGGGACUAAGUUUGUGAAAAUCGGCCCAACCAUUUCCGGGAAACUGAUGUGAGUUCGUCAAUUUUGAAAGAUGGCCGCUUUUCCCGGGCACUCCCGGAACCGUCUAUGGUGGUCAAUGUAGUCAACGAACGUUUGGUUGGCCGUCGGUGACCUAGAACAACCAAUUUAAGUUGUUUGAGAGACAUUUUAGCGAAAUUUUUACCUUUUUUGCUUUCAUUGGAGUAUCGGUUUGAAUCACAAUUUGCUAUGUGAUCGCACGCCACUACCUGUAACUCCGGAACCGGAAGUCGGAUCGAGAUGAAAUUAAAUAGCCAUUUACGGGGACGUAAUACCUUUCAUUUGAGGCCAAGUAUAGUCGAAUCGGUCUAGCCAUCUCCGAGAUGACUGUUAUUCAAAUUUAGAUACUUCCGCCGGGGCUUCCGGAACCGAUGAUGGUGGCCAAUGUGGCCAAAUAGACUUUGAAUGGAUGUUAGUGACCUAAUACUACAAAUCGAAGCAGUUGUGGUCAUAUUUUGGAAAAAUUUUCACCUUUAUACAUUCAUUGCAGAAUUUAUUAAAAUCGACAUUUUCUGCGUGUUAGUACUCAUCACCCUGUAAUUUCGGAACCGGAAGUCGGAUCCAUUAUAAAUUCAAUAGCAGCCUAUGGAAACGUUGCACCUUUCAUUUGAGACUAAGUUUGUCAAAAUCGGUUCAGCCAUCUCUGAGAAAAAUGAGUGACAUUUUUGGUCACAUACACACACACAGACGCACAUACACACACAUACAGACACACACAGACAUUUGCCGAACUCGACGAACUGAAUCGAAUGGUAUAUGUCACUCGGCCCUCCGGGCCUCCGUUAAAAAGUCGGUUUUCAGAGCAAUUGCAAUACCUUUCUAUUGAGAAAGGCAAAAAGCGUGAUAUAAUCGAGACAAAACCGUGAUAUAAUCGAGGGUGAUAUAAACGAGUAUUGAUUAAUAUCAUACUACGCAUAGUGAUAUAAUCGAAACAUUACUGUAUAUGAGAGAUUAAUACCGAAUAGAUCGAAGCAUCAAUUGUCUUCCUUGAAUUGUUUAUACCAUUUAUAAUUAUCAAGAUAUUCAAUCUCAAACUUUGAAAAUAGUUUUUCUCGAAAUGUGCAAAAUGGCGUUUGUCAUAAGAUAGCACAACAGCGACGAGAUCAGAUAGAUAAACAACAUCCCUCAUGAUACUGUACCUUGAUGUGGUCUGGGGGCAUUUCCACUAAAGCAGUAUUACAGUGAUGAUAUCACAGAAACUUGGGAUACGAUUAUUUUCUUUUUAGUUAAGCUACAUUGUGAUGAGUUUUAGUACUUAACAUGGCGACCUUUAUUAUCCACUGCCAUGGUCAAAUAAUAUACAAUGUGGGUUUAGGGCCCAAUUCUCUCAGGAGGCACCCUUCUUUUAUUGCUAUAUUUUAAAUUAAAUGCAUGCUAACACUCACUAACACAAAUUGCUUAUUCUCUCAUAUACACUCACAAUCUCAUUCCAAAAGUACAAACGUGGCCUUCGCGAUAACACAAACCUGGUCACAAAUGCAAACGCCCGCGAUGUCACCAAAAUUCAAACAGUAAUUAAGUGAACGUUUGCACCUAAAAAUUUGCUAACGCGGUCUCAAGCAUCAACCCAUCGCUCGCGCAAUCAUGAAUCGGUAACGUCCGCAAGUCUCUACCAUUGAUCCUAGCAGCCCAAACUCAUGCUUUCAGUUGGACCAAGACGUGCACGCGCGAUCAUUGAAGAACACGCGAACAUGCGAAUGGCAUCACGUUUAUAAAAAUAAUGUGUCCUCGCGAUAUUACAAUUCUCGGUCCUAGUAGCAUAAGUCCAAUGCCUUCAGGUAGACCAAUCAAAAAGUUGAUGCUCAUAUCUACCAAACUACACGUUCCAUGGCGACAUAAAAAUCGAACUUAUACUCACGAAGUCACAUACGCGCAACAAACGGACAUACAAACACUGAGAACUGACAUACAAGUAAAGUUUUAAACUUGUGUAAAAAAAAAAAAUUGUCGCUUUGAAAUGACAACAGCAAGUAACAAUUUACCACUGGCCGACGCUGCGAUCGGCCAGCAAUCGAUUUACGGCAAUUGUUUGCAAACUUGGAUACAAUGGUGACUCACGCAUGCAAACCUGUAUGCGAUGGUGAUUAUCAACGUAUUUUCUUUUAAAUGUUUACACAGGUUUUUCGGGAAACUUUGUUCUAGCUUAUAUGUCUGUUCUCUGUGAUACAAAUGCUUGAGCCCUUCGUUAUCAUCCAUGCAACCUACACCCGCGCUCUUGCAGACAUGAUAACAUCACCGUGAUAAUAUGAACGUCUCAGCACUUAUAAACAUUCAAACGCGAUCUCAAGCGUGAACCUACAGUCCCCCGCACUCGCGCGAUCAUGUAUCGGUCAAGUCAGGAAAUCUCUAUCCUCGAUUCCAGAAGUCUAGGUCCAUGCCUUCAAUUAAAUCAACUAAAAAGCUCUCAUACCCACUGGUCAACACGUUCCAUGUCGACAUGACCAGUGAUAGUGAUAUGGAGUAACUCACUCCCUGUCAGAAUGUGAUCCGCACACCGAAAACUAAAUAUCAGAAUGACGGUCCGCGUGGCCAUCCAAGAACACACUCAAAUAUGUGAAUGGUCAUAGAGUUACAAAAUCGAAUUUAUUCACGCGUAUUUUUUUGCUAUAAAAGCUCAUAACUUUUGAACUAAACGAGUUAUCUCAAAUCUGUCUAUAUAAACAAUAUUCGUCUCUUUAAGCUCUAAAAGUUUUGUGAAGACGCUAUUGAAGUAAAAAAAACAUUUAAAAAGUUAUAAUGUUCCGAAGACAUGAAAUUUCUAGAACCAGUAGCUUAGUCACAAAUGUUUUUCUCAUCCUAAAUUCUGGAAUCGGACCACUGCACAUUGGAAAAAUCUUCACGAAAAUCAAUCAGCAAUACUACCAAUUCCCCCAAAUACAUUGAUUACUUUUCAUGAGAUUUUUCCAUAUUUGGAUACUUGGAAAGUAUCAACCGCAGCAACUGGAAACCUCAGACAUUGAAAUGUACUUUUUUACAAAGCAGAAGCUCAAAGCUUGCUCUGCCUGCAGAUAGUCAAAAACGCAAACAUACCUCAUCGCCGCUGAAGUUUAUUGUAAGUUGACAGUAUUAGAGAAGCAAACCAAUGCUCAUGCAUAUACCAAAAAUAAACGAUCACACCAAACUGUUCCUGGUGAAUGCAUAAAUAAAAUAAAAUACUAUUUGCCAGGUACCUCUUCUACGAACCGGUCAUAAUAUUGGACCUAAACAUAACACAUCGAUUGGCUGAAGUAUUGAUGGAUAUCUCCGCCAUGCUACGUUUCUAAGGAAAAUCAUCCAAACGCUCAGCAUUACGAAGCUGCUGAUCAUGUUCUACAUAAAUCCGCUAGAUUUCAAAACACUGAAUCUUUCGAUACCAUGAUGGCGUUUCCGAGGUGCGUUUCAGCAUAUGUUGAGCAUGAGCUGGAACCGACUUGUCACGACCACGCAGGACCCGAAUAACAAAAAGCAAUGCGGAAAUCGACAUUACUCUCCUGACCGACUUGGCUUACUAAAUUUGCUUUUGACUGAAUAUUCCACGUGCCAUCCUACUAUCGUUGUACUUCAUUCUACGACAACCACUAAGAAAAAUCUAGGCCAAUCCAACUUGAUGCUAUAGGUGUUGAGCGGGUUCAUCACAUUUGGUAGUUUAUUCGUUUUCUUGGCACUUGUGAAGGACUUUCUUAGGAAAAACUGUUUAAACCUGAUCUACACGGUAGUCCACGCUGGUUACUAAUUAAGACACAUUAACCUGCCCAGAAGUUGCUCUCAUCCGAUCAUCGUGCUACUGCAAAAUUACAAUUGCAAACUCGUCCGAGUUGGAUGAGUCCCAUUGCUUCACGUAUGGCUUUCCUGUGUAUCAGGUUGGAUUUCGAAGUACCUUAUGUCUAUGUCACUAGAGCUGGCUGCUGCUGUAGAAGAGCACGAAUGCGAUGACGAAAACUAAGCCGAUUGCGAGGAAGAAUAGGAUGAGGAAACUUGCACAUGGCGAGAUUACACUGAUGAUGAAGGACAUGGUGGCACCGAUCUCGGCGGUCUUGCAAGCAUCGAGGACGAACUGCCUUCACGAGACGUUGAUUUGUCCAGCUAUAUUCACAUGGAUGCUGCGGAAAAUAUUCUAGCUCAUGAUCCCAACUCCGGAGGCACGUAUCGGAAGCGCAAGUUGACUGAGAAUCGGAUGUUGUUCAGAAGCGGCACCGGUCGUACUAUAGGAUCCGAAACCGUAGGGAAUAACUGUGACAACGCAAGGUCGGAGUCCCUCAACUUUAGUAGUAUGAAACGGUUAGCUUUAGAUUCGCCGAGAACUUUACUCUGUCCGUCUAAUCUUACUUCAACGCCAACAUCCUAAACGAUGAGAUAGCGAAAGACUUUCCGAAGCAUAAUUCUCCUCCCGAGGUAAACGAUUCGUUGCAACACUUCCAGCGAUGGACUCCCGUCAAACGUCUGGUGGCAGUAGAUCUGCUGACCGAACAUUACGGCCCGACCCAGGUGCGGCACAUGAUGACGGUUAUCGAAUCCCAAUUCCCGCGAGAUUUUAUUUUACUUGCUCUGAAGGAGCUCGCACUUCAAGUGCUGUUCUACCUGGAACCAAGAGAAGGAAAAUAGCAAGGAAGCUGCCAUCGUGAUGGAAGCGAUGGGAGGUGACCGUCAGAAACGGGGCUAUGCCAGCAAUAUGCCUCCCAUUUCGUCCCAAUGGAAAGUGGCGUACAUGCGGCAAUCCGGUUCCGACGACAAUACGUUCAAAGUGUGGUUUGCCAACACCGGAAAGUACCUUCGAACAUUGGUUAACCACACAGGUGGAGUCUGGUUGUCACAAAUGGCCGGAGACAUAAUCAUCUUCGGCAGUACUGACCGCAGGUUGAAGGUGUGGAACGCUGAAACUGGCCAACUGUUACAUACGCUAUAUGGCCACACUUAGACUGCUCGUUGUAUGCAUUUACACGGAAAUAAAGUCAUCAGUGGCUCUCGCGAUGCGACUCUACAAAUUUGUGCCGUAGGAUCACGCAACGGUACGGAAGAAAUCAAACUAAUGGUACUCGAUUUUGAUGUGGAGGGUGCCUGCUUGACAUGCUCAUAAGUAUACUUGAAAAAAUCUGACGCUAAUAAAAAAUUUGAAGCAAAAAAUAUUGCUGUUUUUGUUUUUAUUUGAAAUAAAAAGAAAACCCAAACGAAUAAAAUAAGAAGAAGAAAAGCAAAAUAAGGAGCACGACGAUCGCCCGAUUUUCUAUAGUUCGACAUCGGGCUCACGUCGGUCCGAUUACGUCGAUGCGUUUGACAUAUUCGAAGGUUGACGCGGUUUAUGCAAAUGGUGCAAAAUUGC